rnacentral:rRNA from 1 species
CAGAGGGUGCGAGCGUUAAUCGGAAUUACUGGGCGUAAAGGGUGCGUAGGUGGUUGCUUAAGUUAGAUGUGAAAUCCCCGGGCUUAACCUGGGAAUGGCAUUUAAGACUGGGCAGCUAGAGUUUGGUAGAGGGAAGUGGAAUUUCCGGUGUAGCGGUGAAAUGCGUAGAUAUCGGAAGGAACACCAGUGGCGAAGGCGACUUCCUGGACCAUCACUGACACUGAGGCACGAAAGCGUGGGGAGCGAACAGGAUUAGAUACCCUGGUAGUCCACGCCGUAAACGAUGAGAACUAGAUGUUAGGGGGCUUGACCUCUUAGUAUCGCAGCUAACGCGAUAAGUUCUCCGCCUGGGGAGUACGGCCGCAAGGUUA